AUGCAGGUUUGCUAGGAUCUGAAGCCCUUGUAAGCAAUUCAUUUAGCAACAGAAUGAAUCGCAACAACUCCUGAAACAAUGCGUGAUAAAAACAGUAUAACGUGGUCUAAAGCAAUGGAAAAAAGGCAGUUGUACCAAGGGUAAGAUGGUCAAUUUUAUAACUCAGAAGGGCAGAGUACAGCCAUCGAGUAAAACAGAGGAGUGUUCAGAAUUGCCUCUAAAACAGCCUAUGAUAAGAAGGCAUUUGACAUGAAAUGACAGUAAAUAGAUAAGGAUUCUGCCUCCUUACUGAACCCUCUGAGUCACAGCCUAAAUAACCAAUAAUAAAAGUGCAAAUGGCAUUAAAUGAGUGGAUGACGAACAGCUACAUGGCCUCUAGUGCAACCCCUACGGAAGAAGCUAAUAGCUGACUGUACCUUACUCCAAAAGACACCUUUUCAAUUAGCUAAUAUUUGUAAUUUGUAAUUAAACUUAGUUGUGACCGUAGAUGCUUCAUAAAGCUGAAGUCCAUUUUACUGUUGAAUGUACAGUAAAAUGGCUUCAGUUUUGUAAUAGAUAUAUUGAUUAUCA